AAUAAUUAAUAAGUGACGUAGUAUCCUAGUCAGCGCAUACGAUUCCCAGGACGGGCCUAAAAAUCCGUAGAAGGGCAUAUCGAUGAAGUCUCUGGUGUUUGCUUCUUACGCCCAGUUUGGGGUGGAUGCUGGAGGUUAAGGCUUGCGGGCGCGCUUCAAUGGCAUGAAGUACCGACCCGCCUGCCGUGGAGACCCGCGACUGUCGGACACCUAUAGCAUCCCUUUUGGGGUUGAUGGAUGUCCAACGGCACGGGAUGAAACCUGUAUUGCGGUGCGGCGGCAGCCGCGCGGCAAACGCCAGCCGUUUGGCUGGUGGCCCGCGUGGAUGCCAAAACGCUGUGUGCAGUGUAGCCUGCCUUGCGUGGCCAUGGUGGAUAUCGUAUCCGCCCGUGCCUUCCCGGCCAGGAAGGGAUGGGAAUUGACGGUUGAAACCAUGUCUGCAAAAGAGGCUAAGAAUCGUGUUGCCUGCAGUGGAAAUCACCUAGGCUAUUCAGCAAUGAGGCAGGCUGAGGAUUGCAGUGCGGACUCAGUGGCAAUUCGGUCCCGGUGAUGGUAACAUCCCGGCACGGACUUUAAUGGGAAACCCCCACGACGGCGACGCGUGGCAGUCCGCGGGGAAAGCCAACCGAACCUCAAGCCGCAAGAUUAACUCGGCCUGCCGUCACUUACUUUUUG
rnacentral:sRNA from 1 species